rnacentral:rRNA from 1 species
UACGUAGGUGGCAAGCGUUAUCCGGAUUUAUUGGGUUUAAAGGGUGCGCAGGCGGGAGAUUAAGUCGGUGGUGAAAUUUUGCAGCUUAACUGUAACAGUGCCAUUGAUACUGGUUUUCUUGAGUGUGGAUGAAGUAGGCGGAAUUUGUGGUGUAGCGGUGAAAUGCAUAGAUAUCACGAGGAACUCCGAUCGCGUAGGCAGCUUACUAAACCAUAACUGACGCUCAUGCACGAAGGCGUGGGGAUCAAACAGGAUUAGAUA